rnacentral:rRNA from 1 species
CGUCUAUAUACGUAUAGCAUAUCAAUAAGCGGAGGAAAAGAAACUAACUAGGAUUCCCUUAGUAACGGCGAGUGAAGCGGGAAGAGCUCAAAUUUGAAAUCUUCAAGGUUUUACCUUGACGAAUUGUAGUUUAAAGAAGUGUUUUCUGUUGGUGUUUUGGUAAAAGUUCUUUGGAAUAGGACACCAUAGAGGGUGAGAAUCCCGUAUUUGACCAUUACUUCCAGCGUUGUGAUACACUUUCAAAGAGUCGGAUUGUUUGGGAAUGCAGUCCAAAAUGGGUGGUAAAUUUCAUCUAAAGCUAAAUAUUGGCGAGAGACCGAUAGCGAACAAGUACCGUGAGGGAAAGAUGAAAAGAACUUUGAAAAGAGAGUUAAACAGUACGUGAAAUUGUCAAAAGGGAAGCGUUUGACACCAGUGUUGUUUUCUCGAAAAUCAAUUAAAAAUGGUUGGAUUUUGUAUUGUUAAGACCUUAUCAGCUUACUGUACUCUUUCUUGCUUUUUUUAAUGCACUUUUCGUUUAACAAGUCAACAUCAAUUUCUUUUGUUGUAAAAGGGUCAUUGGAAGGUGGCUUUCUUUUCGGAGAAAGUGUUUAUAGCCUUUGGCCUCUGCAAUCGGAGAGAUUGAGGUCUGCAGCGUAGAUCCUUCGGGGUUAGAUACAUUUGUGCUAAGUUAUAGCCUUUCAUAGACAACUUGUUGACUAUGAUCAGUCAUGUAGCUUACUCGCUGAUGCUAUUUUACCUACGCUUAGGAUGUUGACUGAUAUGUAGUCGUA